rnacentral:rRNA from 1 species
GAUAAACGCUGGCGGCGCACAUAAGACAUGCAAGUCGAACGGACUUAACUCAUUCUUUUAGAUUGAGAGCGGUUAGUGGCGGACUGGUGAGUAACACGUAAGCAACCUGCCUAUUAGAGGGGAAUAACAGUGAGAAAUCAUUGCUAAUACCGCAUAUGCUAACAGUAUCGCAUGAUACAGUUAGGAAAGGAGCAAUCCGCUAAUAGAUGGGCUUGCGUCUGAUUAGCUAGUUGGUGGGGUAACGGCCUACCAAGGCGACGAUCCAUAGCCGGCCUGAGAGGGUGAGCGGCCACAUUGGGACUGAGACACGGCCCAG